UACGUAGGGCGCAAGCGUUGUCCGGAAUUAUUGGGCGUAAAGAGCUCGUAGGCGGCUUGUCACGUCGAUUGUGAAAGCCCGAGGCUUAACCUCGGGUCUGCAGUCGAUACGGGCUAGCUAGAGUGUGGUAGGGGAGAUCGGAAUUCCUGGUGUAGCGGUGAAAUGCGCAGAUAUCAGGAGGAACACCGGUGGCGAAGGCGGGUCUCUGGGCCGAAACUGACGCUGAGGAGCGAAAGCGUGGGGAGCAAACAGG
rnacentral:rRNA from 1 species